AGUGAACGCUGGCGGUAGGCCUAACACAUGCAAGUCGAACGGCAGCACAGUAAGCGCUUGCUCUUACGGGUGGCGAGUGGCGGAUGGGUGAGGAAUACAUCGGCAUCUACUUUUUCGUGGGGGAUAACGUAGGGAAACUUACGCUACUACCGCAUACGACCUACGGGUGAAAGCAGGGGUUCUUCGGACCUUGCGCGUUUGAAUGAGCCGAUGUCGGAUUAGCUAGUUGGCGGGGUAAGGGCCCACCAAGGCGACGAUCCGUAGCUGGUCUGAGAGGAUGAUCAGCCACACUGGAACUGAGACACGGUCCAGACUCCUACGGGAGGCAGCAGUGGGGAAUAUUGGACAAUGGGCGAAAGCCUGAUCCAGCCAUACCGCGUGAGUGAAGAAGGCCUUCGGGUUGUAAAGCCCUUUUGUUGGGAAAGAAAAGCAGCAGAUUAAUACCCCGCUGUUCUGACGGUACCCAAAGAGUAAGCACCGGCUAACUUCGUG
rnacentral:rRNA from 1 species